GAUGAACGCUGGCGGCGUGCCUAAUACAUGCAAGUAGAACGCUGAAGGAGGAGCUUGCUCUUCUGGAUGAGUUGCGAACGGGUGAGUAACGCGUAGGUAACCUGCCUGGUAGCGGGGGAUAACUAUUGGAAACGAUAGCUAAUACCGCAUGACAACAGUUAUUGCAUGAUAACUGUUUAAAAGGGGCAACUGCUCCACUGCCAGAUGGACCUGCGUUGUAUUAGCUAGUUGGUGAGGUAACGGCUCACCAAGGCGACGAUACAUAGCCGACCUGAGAGGGUGAUCGGCCACACUGGGACUGAGACACGGCCCAGACUCCUACGGGAGGCAGCAGUAGGGAAUCUUCGGCAAUGGACGGAAGUCUGACCGAGCAACGCCGCGUGAGUGAAGAAGGUUUUCGGAUCGUAAAGCUCUGUUGUAAGAGAAGAACGAGUGUGAGAGUGGAAAGUUCACACUGUGACGGUAGCUUACCAGAAAGGGACGGCUAACUACGUG
rnacentral:rRNA from 1 species